rnacentral:antisense_RNA from 1 species
CGCAGCCACAAGUCCCGGACGUCUUGGCCCCGGGAAUAAAUAAAGACAUAAACCAGCCCGGCUUUCUCCGGAGAAAUGAGGCGCAGUGGUGGAUGCUCGCAAACUUUUGCGCACCGCUGGAAACCCACUAGGUUGAGUUGCAAAACGUACCGCGUAGACGCCCCUGGUGGCGCCGAGAGAAGAGCUAGGCCUGCCCAGCACAGAGCCGGAGAGCGUCGGGCCUUCCGGAAGGGUCGACGAGAUGAGUUCCUACUUGACCUCUGAGCCGAGGUGGGCCGGAAACCGAGGCCUAGGCCCCGCCGGGGCUGCAAGGAAAAGGCGAAACUCCGAGCGUAGCGUCUUUUCCGUGUGGUUCCUUUCUCUGGCAUCCCGGACCGCGGGCCCUGCAGCCACCUGGACCGGCGUUCAAAGGAUUCUGCAAGUCCAGCUUCACAGACUGGCUUUCCCAGACGCUCCGAAGCCCGCACCACGAACAGAAUAAAGGAGAGACGAGAGAUCGCAACUAGAUUUGAGAAUCCUCGUUCUUUUCCCCAAUCGUUCGGGCAGUAAACUCCGGAGCCGGCUACAGCGCGCAUCCUCCCUUCCUCCUUUAGGAGGACUGUCGCUUUCCCGAAGCUGCUCCCAGCUGGGCUUUCUCCCGAAGUUUAUUUUUCUCAUUUUGCAAAAUUCCUGCCCUGAUUUUAAUACUGCAACAGGACAGCAGAGGUUCCUCUUUAAAAAGUCAAAACCCAAACCAAAGGGGCCCAUUGCUGUUGAUAAUUUUUUU